rnacentral:lncRNA from 1 species
AUCAUCAUCAUCAUCCGAGCCUGGAGAAGACGAGGAGCUAUUAGAAGAGAAGCUGACACCAAAGUGAGCGGGGACAGCGGCUGCGCCAGGUGGUGGAGGAGCAGAGCCAGAAACUGUGGCCGGUUGGAAGACAUGGAUAUUAAGAGCGGCCGAAGAAGAAGCCGGAAGGUUCGAGAGUGAGAAUGGUUGGGGAGGAGGAUUGAUAUUUCGAACAGACGAAAUAGGCAUCGGACCGGGGAUGCCAACUGAGACAGGAGAGACAUCGAGGGUGGCGGGGACAUGAGCUGUAGCAGCGCCGGCGGUAGCCAUUGAGGGAGAAGCUGAGAGGUUAGUAGAGCUGCUGCCAUGGAGAGCUUCGAGCUGCGUGAAGAACUUGUAGCUUUUGCCAUCUUGACGUCCGGCUCUGCCUUCUUUUGUUCGCUUGUAGUAUUUGUGGACGUUCUCGAAUUUCUCUUUGCAUUUCUUCCCACUCCUGUUGUAUCCCAACUCUGCUAGCUUCCUGUAAUAAUCAACACCCACAAUAAUCUACCAUCCAGAAUAGUUAUUCACACUAUAUAUACAGAUAUAUAAAAUAUAUACAUGCGAAUUAAUUUUAUACCCUUUAAUUUUUUUUUUCAAAAAGAUGAUCAAGAAUAUUUUCCAACUUUAUUCGAGGUUAAUUGAAUUCUUCCUUCAAACCAUUUUAAUGACAAUGUAUUUUAAAUCGAAUUUUCUCUUCUUUUUUUUUUUUCCUCGCAAUUUAAUUGUGCAACAAGCACUAAAACAAGCUGCCCACUUACCAAAAUGAAAGUAGAAAAAAUUAGAAGCUCUCACCCAAAUUUGAAACCAUUUACUACGGAGAAAGAGAGAUCGAAGAAGAGAUUCUAUGGGGAAAAAUAGAAAAUUAAAAGAAGAAUUGGUAUGAGGAUUUUCAAUUUGAAGUUUGGAGAAAUUUAUGGGUUUAAUUUAAUUUUUAAAUAUAAAGGAAGAUAAAUAAUAAUAGUAGCAAGAGGGUAUGGGUAAAACGUGCGCAGUGGAUCUGGGCCAUGAAUUCUUAAUUUGCAGAGAGAGAAGAAAAACAAAAAGAUGCCUCAAACAGGCUCGUGAGUCGUGAUGGAAAGGGAUAGAGGCCAUGUGCGUCUGUUUGCAGACUAGGACAGACGCAGACAGACAGAGAGAAAGAAAGAAAGAAAGAUAGCAGUACAGAGAUGAACACCACUAACCUCAUCGAUACCAAAAUGCUUCACAGAAUCGUCGAAUCGAAAAUGGAAAAUGUACAAGAAAAAUAAUUGAAUGGAGAGAAAAACAAAAAAAAAAAGUUACCUGGAAACUUCUUCCCACAGCGGGCCUUUAAUGGUAGUAUCGCGGAAAACAGCAUCCAUAUCGGACCUAAUCUUGAGAAGCGCCAGAGUUUCUUGACGAGGCCAUCGGUUUCCGCUGAUACCACCGGCACCGCCGCUUCCUCCUCCACGGUCUGCUUCCUAUCCGGCUGCCGCAAGUGCCGCAUCUUCCUCCGCCGAUAACCGCAUCAGCUCAUCUAAACUCCCGGCAGCGGCGGUGGCCGGAGGCCGACUGCUUAUCGGCGAGGCAGCUUCGACUAUCUGCUGCUGCUGCGGCGACUGGUCGCUGCCAACAUGCAACAUGUGGAGUUAUCAGUGAAGCAAUAACACGAUUCU